UACGAAGGGUGCAAACGUUGCUCGGAAUUAUUGGGCGUAAAGCGCACGUAGGCGGCUAUCUAAGUCGGAUGUGAAAUCCCUCGGCUUAACCAAGGAAGUGCACCCGAAACUGGAUAGCUUGAGUACAGAAGAGGAUCGCGGAAUUCCCGGUGUAGAGGUGAAAUUCGUAGAUAUCUGGAGGAACACCGGUGGCGAAGGCGGCGUCCUGGACCAACACUGACACUGAUGAGCGAAAGCCAGGGGAGCAAACGGG
rnacentral:rRNA from 1 species